rnacentral:rRNA from 1 species
AUGCUUGAAGAAUUUUGCCGGAACUUCGAGGAAGAGACUGGGCGAGUUGAGACAAGCUUGGACCCCAUUCAUUCUCCGGUGAAGGACGAGGCUGCCAUGAAUGUACUCCGAUUGGAAUCUCGUGUUGCUGGUGUUGUUGAUUAUCUUGCUCGAUUGAAGGUCGCGAUGUCGCGGAUCGACACAGCACUCUGGCCAGGGGCAACACUCCAAAAUGACCUCGAGUCUCUGAUGACUCGACUUAAUGAGAUUCCCGGUCGAGUGCAAGAAUGGAAGAAGUCUUCUGCCCGGUGCGGCGCUGAUGUGGCCCUGUCUUUGGUUCGUGUCCACUGCAAGGAAGCGCGAGAAGAGAAGCUGGUAGCGAUCAAGGUUGCCAACACCAAGAAGCACGACUUCCAAUCCUUCAUGGAGACCUUCAUUGCUGCCGCCACUCGGAUUGCCGAUGGAAUUGACCUGGACAAAUUCGUCGAGCCUGCCAGCCCUCCUCCUGCGGAGUGA